AAAAAUCCCUAACGUGUCCGUUUUUUAUUGGCUUUUCUUGUAUGCCUUUCUCUAUCCUCUUUCUCUCUUUGGCGUCUCUUUCUGGUUUCUUCGAAUUUGGGAAUCAAUCAAAGAAAAGAGACAUUUGCACUUGCCUCUGGGGUUAACUCUUUCGAUCAAGGCACCAAGGUUCGUCUACUUCAUUCUCUCUCUUUCUUUGUAAUCAAAAAUCAAAAUUUGUCAGCUUUAUUUUCUGAGAAAGUUAACUAAUUGUAUUGAAUCUGCAAAAGAUAUGGAUAGAUAAAAGAACCGGUGGUGUUCAAAAGAAUACUUCUUUUCUCCCUAAUCUGUGUGUUGGUUUGAUUAACGUACAUAAGCUCUUCAAAACUAUACUCUUUUCCUCCCGAAUUGGUUUGUUGAUCAUGUGGUUUAUAUAGACAAACUUUUCUUAGUUUCUCUUUGAAAUACAUUAUCACCUUGUUUCUCUUUUGGUUGAACUUCUUUGUACAAUUAAAUUCCGUCGUGUUCUGAUCAUAUUUGUGAUAUAUAUGGGAAUGGAUUCAUUAUGAUAACAUGUUAUGCUCUAACAUUCAUGUUUUUCAGUCAAAGUUAACAUUUUUUUCUUUGGGUCAAUCGAUUCAUUUUGAGUGGUAGAUGAGUAUUGAAGUACAUAGUCUUGUGGUUCUUCUGAUCUGUGUGUUUCUGCAAUAAUAAUUGGAGAUUUCUUGUCGGUGACUCUCUUAAUGUCUCUCCUGUACGCUGGAUUUGAGACUUCUUAUGUGGAAGAAGAACCAUUACUACCUUUUGAUACUCUCUUAGAAGAAUACUUUGUAGAAUCACACUUGAGAAAGUCUUUAAACUCAAACGGGAGUUCUUCGAAUUCUUUAGAGGUUCCUAGGUUAGCUUAUCUGAUCUCAGGUACUAAAGGAGAUAGCCACAGGAUGAUGAGGACUUUGGAAGCUGUGUACCAUCCAAGAAACCAAUAUGUUCUCCAUUUAGACCUCGAAGCUCCACCUAAGGAGAGGCUGAAGCUUGCAAUGUCUGUGAAGAGUGAUCCUACUCUCCGUGAAGUUGCAAACGUCCGUCAGUGUUAUGUCACAGUCUAAUCUCGUUACCUAUAAAGGCCCUACAAUGAUCGCUUGUACGCUUCAAGCUGUGGCGGUUUUUCUCAAGGAGAGCUUGGAUUGGGAUUGGUUCAUCAACCUUAGUGCAUCAGAUUAUCCUCUCGUGACACAAGAUGAUUUGUUGUGUGUCUUCUCCAAUUUGUCUAGGAAUCUUAACUUCAUUGAACAUACGAAGUUCACCGGAAUAUUAAAUUCAUGAUAUAAAUUUGUAUUUCUAUUUUUCAUAUGUUUUUAUGUCAUAUUUUAUGUUAUGAAAUCCAAUAAUUUAUAAAUUUUGUAAUAUUUAAAUUUAAUAAUUCAAUUUUUUUUAAAAAAAUUAAGAACCUUAUAGAUGUUCUUCCAUUGGACUUUCAUACAACUAAAGUUCU